AACUUGCCUCAGAGAUUGGGACAACAUUGGGAAACCAGUGCUAAUACCAAAUAAUGCAGCGGGCUCUUCGGAGCACAGUUGUUAAAGUAGGCUUCGGCUUACACUUUGAGAUAGGUUUGCGUCCGAUUAGUUAGUUGGUAGGGUAAAAGCCUACCAAGACCAAGAUCGGUAGCUGGUCUGAGAGGAUGAUCAGCCACACUGGAAUUGAGAUACGGUCCAGACUCCUACGGGAGGCAGCAGUAAGGAAUUUUGCACAAUGGGCGGAAGCCUGAUGCAGCAACGCCGCGUGAACGAUGAAGUUUUUAGGAAUGUAAAGUUCAGUCGUAUGGGAAGAGAUCUUUCGAAUGUUAAUACCAUUCGUUAAUGACGGUACCAUACAAGAAAGCACCGGCUAACUUCGUGCCAGCAGCCGCGGUAAUACGAGGGGUGCUAGCGU
rnacentral:rRNA from 1 species